rnacentral:rRNA from 1 species
AGGUAGCUUGCUACUGAUCUUAGCGGCGGACGGGUGGGUAAUACUUAGGAAUCUGGCUAUUAGUGGGGGACAACGUUCCGAAAGGAAUGCUAAUACCGCAUACGUCCUACGGGAGAAAGCAGGGGAUCUUCGGACCUUGCGCUAAUAGAUGAGCCUAAGUCAGAUUAGCUAGUUGGUGGGGUAAUGGCUCACCAAGGCGACGAUCUGUAACUGGUCUGAGAGGAUGAUCCGCCACACUGGAACUGAGACACGGUCCAGACUCCUACGGGAGGCAGCAGUGGGGAAUAUUGGACAAUGGGCGAAAGCCUGAUCCAGCCAUGCCGCGUGUGUGAAGAAGGCCUUUUGGUUGUAAAGCACUUUAAGCGAGGAGGAGGCUACCGAGAUUAAUACUCUUGGAUAGUGGACGUUACUCGCAGAAUAAGCACCGGCUAACUCUGUGCCAGCAGCCGCGGUAAUACAGAGGGUGCAAGCGUUAAUCGGAUUUACUGGGCGUAAAGCGUGCGUAGGUGGCCAAUUAAGUCAAAUGUGAAAUCCCCGAGCUUAACUUGGGAAUUGCAUUCGAUACUGGUUGGCU